rnacentral:tRNA from 1 species
GCUGGGGAUAUAGCUCAGUUGGUAGAUUGAUUGCCUUGCAUGCAUAAGGCCCUGAGUUCAAUUCCCAGCACAACG